CAGCAGCCACGGUAAUACGAAGGGUGCAAGCGUUAAUCGGAAUUACUGGGCGUAAAGCGUGCGCAGGUGGUGGUUUAAGUCCGUUGUGAAAGCCCUGGGCUCAACCUGGGAAUUGCAGUGGAUACUGGGUCACUAGAGUGUGGUAGAGGAUAGUGGAAUUUCCGGUGUAGCAGUGAAAUGCGUAGAGAUCGGAAGGAACAUCUGUGGCGAAGGCGACUAUCUGGGCCAACACUGACACUGAGGCACGAAAGCGUGGGGAGCAAACAGGAUUAGAUACCCCAGUAGUCCCUGUCUCUUAUAC
rnacentral:rRNA from 1 species